AAAUUGAAGAGUUUGAUCAUGGCUCAGAUUGAACGCUGGCGGCAGGCCUAACACAUGCAAGUCGAGCGGUAGCACAGAGAGCUUGCUCUCGGGUGACGAGCGGCGGACGGGUGAGUAAUGUCUGGGAAACUGCCUGAUGGAGGGGGAUAACUACUGGAAACGGUAGCUAAUACCGCAUAAUGUCGCAAGACCAAAGUGGGGGACCUUCGGGCCUCAUGCCAUCAGAUGUGCCCAGAUGGGAUUAGCUAGUAGGUGGGGUAACGGCUCACCUAGGCGACGAUCCCUAGCUGGUCUGAGAGGAUGACCAGCCACACUGGAACUGAGACACGGUCCAGACUCCUACGGGAGGCAGCAGUGGGGAAUAUUGCACAAUGGGCGCAAGCCUGAUGCAGCCAUGCCGCGUGUGUGAAGAAGGCCUUCGGGUUGUAAAGCACUUUCAGCGGGGAGGAAGGCGUUAAGGUUAAUAACCUUGGCGAUUGACGUUACCCGCAGAAGAAGCACCGGCUAACUCCGUGCCAGCAGCCGCGGUAAUACGGAGGGUGCAAGCGUUAAUCGGAAUUACUGGGCGUAAAGCGCACGCAGGCGGUCUGUCAAGUCGGAUGUGAAAUCCCCGGGCUCAACCUGGGAACUGCAUUCGAAACUGGCAGGCUAGAGUCUUGUAGAGGGGGGUAGAAUUCCAGGUGUAGCGGUGAAAUGCGUAGAGAUCUGGAGGAAUACCGGUGGCGAAGGCGGCCCCUGGACAAAGACUGACGCUCAGGUGCGAAAGCGUGGGGAGCAAACAGGAUUAGAUACCCUGGUAGUCCACGCCGUAAACGAUGUCGAUUUGGAGGUUGUGCCCUUGAGGCGUGGCUUCCGGAGCUAACGCGUUAAAUCGACCGCCUGGGGAGUACGGCCGCAAGGUUAAAACUCAAAUGAAUUGACGGGGGCCCGCACAAGCGGUGGAGCAUGUGGUUUAAUUCGAUGCAACGCGAAGAACCUUACCUGGUCUUGACAUCCACAGAACUUUCCAGAGAUGGAUUGGUGCCUUCGGGAACUGUGAGACAGGUGCUGCAUGGCUGUCGUCAGCUCGUGUUGUGAAAUGUUGGGUUAAGUCCCGCAACGAGCGCAACCCUUAUCCUUUGUUGCCAGCGGUUCGGCCGGGAACUCAAAGGAGACUGCCAGUGAUAAACUGGAGGAAGGUGGGGAUGACGUCAAGUCAUCAUGGCCCUUACGACCAGGGCUACACACGUGCUACAAUGGCAUAUACAAAGAGAAGCGACCUCGCGAGAGCAAGCGGACCUCAUAAAGUAUGUCGUAGUCCGGAUUGGAGUCUGCAACUCGACUCCAUGAAGUCGGAAUCGCUAGUAAUCGUAGAUCAGAAUGCUACGGUGAAUACGUUCCCGGGCCUUGUACACACCGCCCGUCACACCAUGGGAGUGGGUUGCAAAAGAAGUAGGUAGCUUAACCUUCGGGAGGGCGCUUACCACUUUGUGAUUCAUGACUGGGGUGAAGUCGUAACAAGGUAACCGUAGGGGAACCUGCGGUUGGAUCACCUCCUUA
rnacentral:rRNA from 2 species